CGGCGGACGGGUGAGUAACGCGUGGGUAACCUGCCUCAUACAGGGGGAUAACAGUUGGAAACGGCUGCUGAUACCGCAUAAGCGCACAGUACCGCAUGGUACGGUGUGAAAAACUCCGGUGGUAUGAGAUGGACCCGCGUCUGAUUAGGUAGUUGGUGGGGUAACGGCCUACCAAGCCGACGAUCAGUAGCCGACCUGAGAGGGUGACCGGCCACAUUGGGACUGAGACACGGCCCAA
rnacentral:rRNA from 1 species